rnacentral:tRNA from 1 species
GGCCCAAUGGUCUAGUAGUAUGAUACUCGCUUCGGGUGUGAAAGCCCGUUCUUGCAAAGAGCGAAGAUGUGAGUGGUCCCGGGUUCAAUUCCCGGUUGGGCCC